UACGGAGGGUGCAAGCGUUAUCCGGAUUUACUGGGUUUAAAGGGUGCGUAGGUGGGUCUGUAAGUCAGUGGUGAAAUCUCCGAGCUUAACUCGGAAACUGCCAUUGAUACUAUAGGUCUUGAAUUAUCUGGAGGUAAGCGGAAUAUGUCAUGUAGCGGUGAAAUGCUUAGAUAUGACAUAGAACACCAAUUGCGAAGGCAGCUUACUACACAGUUAUUGACGCUGAGGCACGAAAGCGUGGGGAUCAAACAGG
rnacentral:rRNA from 1 species